rnacentral:rRNA from 1 species
GAUGAACGCUGGCGGCGUGCCUAACACAUGCAAGUCGAGCGAACAGACGAGGAGCUUGCUCCUCUAACGUUAGCGGCGGACGGGUGAGUAACACGUGCAUAACCUACCUCUAAGACUGGGAUAAUUUCGGGAAACCGGUGCUAAUACUGCAUCAUAUAUUUAACCGCAGGGUUCAAUAGUGAAAGACGGUUUUGCCGUUACUCAUAGACGGUUCCGCGCCGGAUUAGCUAGUUGGUAAGGUAACGGCUUACCAAGGCAACGAUCCGUAGCCGACCUGAGAGGAUGAUCGGCCACACUGGAACUGAGACACGGUCCAGACUCCUACGGGAGGCAGCAGUAGGGAAUCUUCGGCAAUGGGCGCAAGCCUGACGCAGCCAUACCGCGUGAGUGAUGAAGGCCUUCGGGUCGUAAAGCCCUGUUAUUGGGAAAGAACAGCUGUAUGUGAAUACCUGGCCGUACUGACGGUACCUAAAGAAUAAGCACCGGCUAACUACGUG